GCGAACGCUGGCGGCAGGCCUAACACAUGCAAGUUCAGCGCCCAGCAAUGGGAGCGGCAGACGGGAGAGUAACACGUGGGAACGUACCCUUCAGUUCGGAACAACCCAGGGAAAACUUGGGCUAAUACCGAAUACGUCCGUAAGGAGAAAAGAUUUAUCGCUGAGGAGGAUCGGCCCGCGUCUGAUUAUCUAGUUGGGUGGAGGUAACGGCUCACCAAGGCGACGAUCAGUAGCUGGUCUGAGAGGAUGAUCAGCCUCACUGGGACUGAGACACGGCCAGACUCCUACGGGAGGCAGCAGUGGGGAAAUAUUGGGACAAUGGGCGCAAGCCUGAUCCAGCCAAUGCCGCGUGGAUGAUGAAGGCCCUAGGUGUUGUAAAGUCCUUCCUUCGACGGGGAAGAUAAUGACGGUACCCGUAGAAGAAGCCCCGGCUAACUUCGUGCCAGCAGCCGCGGGUAAUGCCGAAGGGGGCUAGCCGUUGCUCGGAAUCACUGGGCGUAAAGCGCACGUAGGCGGACUCUUAAGUCGGUGGUGAAAUCCAUGGAGCUCAACUCCAGAACUGCCUUCGAUACUGAGAGUUCUCGAGUCCGUAGAGGGUGAGUGGAACUGCGAGUGUAGAGGUGAAAUUGUCUAGAUAUUCGCAAGAACACCAGUGGCGAGGGCGGCUCACUGGCCCGGGGUACUGACGCUGAGGUGCGAGGGAGCGUGGGGGAGCAAACAGGAUUAGAUACCCUGGUAGUCCCACGCCGUAAACGAUGGAUGCUAGCCGUUGGCAGGCUUUGCCUUCAGUGGCGCAGCUAACGCAUUAAGCAUCCCGCCUGGGGAGUACGGUUCGCAAGAUUAAAAACUCAAAGGAAUUGACGGGUGGCCCGCACAAGCGGUGGAGCAUGUGGUUCAAUUCGAAGCAACGCGCAGAAACCUUACAACCUUUGACAUGUCCCGUAUGGGUACCAGAGAUGGAACUCUUCAAGUUCUGGCUGGCGGAAAACAGGUGGCUGCAUGGCGGUCGUCAGCCUUUCGUGUCCGUGAGAUGUUGGGUUAGUCCCGCAACGAGCGCAACCCUCGCCCUUAGUUGCCAUCAUUCAGUUGGUCACUCUAAGGGGACUGCCGGGUGAUAAGCCGCGAGAGUAAGUGGGGAUGACGGUCAAGUCCUCAUGGCCCUUACGGUUGGGCUACACAACGGGCUACAAAUGGCUGGUUACAGUGGGAUGCAAUGGGGCAACCCUUCGCAAAUCUCAAAAAGCCGUCUCAGUUCGGUAUUGCACUCUGCAACUCGAGUGCAUAAGUUGAAUCGCUAGUAAUCGCUAGAUCAAGCACGCUGCUGGUGAAUACGUUCCCGGGCCUUGUACACACCGCCCGUCAACCCAUGGGAGUUGGUUUACCUGAAGACGGUGCGCUAACCGCAAGGAGGCAGCCGGCCACGGUAGGAUCAGCGGACUGGGGUG
rnacentral:rRNA from 1 species